rnacentral:tRNA from 1 species
GCGUUCAUAGCUCAGCGGGAGAGCGUCGCGUUGACAUCGCGAAGGUCGGAGGUUCGAUCCCUCCUGGACGCA